GGAUGAACGCUAGCGGCAGGCUUAAUACAUGCAAGUCGUGGGGCAGCAUGGGGUAGCAAUACCCUGAUGGCGACCGGCAAACGGGUGCGGAACACGUACGCAACCUUCCUUUAACUGGAGAAUAGCCCCUCGAAAGAGGGAUUAAUACUCCGUAAUAUCCCGAUAUGGCAUCAUAAUGGGAUUAUAGCUCCGGCGGUUAGAGAUGGGCGUGCGCCUGAUUAGGUAGUUGGCGGGGAAUGGCCCACCGAAGCC
rnacentral:rRNA from 1 species